rnacentral:siRNA from 1 species
CAUUAGGCCCAUGAUACUGCU